UAUAUUGAGAGAAUACACUCAAUUGUUCAUGUUUUCAUUUAUGCUGGGACACUGGACGUUUUCACAUGAUAUUUUGUACCACCUUUAGUCUUAAAGUGUGAGACACACCUAUUCUAAAGCCAUUGGUAUUUUUUCAGUUGCUCCUGAGACAGAGGUUGAGUUCUUCAUAGGGAGAUAAGACAGGAAGACAUCUAUUUUGUUUUGAGAAGAAUUACUCUUUGAGGUCUUUGAAUUAAGCACAGAAGAAGCAAAGGCCUCUUCUGCAAAGGUCUUCAUUAAGGACAGGGACACAUCUCUCUAAAGAGAUGUCUGUGUCAGCAGGAAAGCCUCUCCUUCUCCCAAAGUCAGUCAGUCUUUGUCAGUGAAAUAAAGUGGGAGUUGGCAGCCUCAGCCCUGAUUUGGGAGAGAGUUGGGCAAAGGUCACUGCCAACUGUGGCAAACAGGCUGACCCCACGACAGUGUGGGUGUGGCCAGAGAGGAGAGGCACCAGUGGGACAUGUGAAGUCCAGGAUGCAGGGGCUAGGUGAAAUCUUUCUGUAAUACAUUUUCCUGCUCUUACCUCUAGGCCGGGAUGUAGGACUGUGUUCAGAGAUGCCCAGAAGAGAACGUAGGGGGAGGAGCCCGGGGAAAGGCCCUUAGCACAGCUGUGGGGAACAUGGAAGUAUUCCGCAGGGACCCCCAGAAAUAGCUGGGAAGGGCAGUCAGGUAUAAGACCACAACUCCAGUCGAUCAGCUAGGUUAAGCGCUCAAUUAUAAUGCAAAUAUUGAUGGAAAAUGGAGAAUCCCAGGACAUCUGGGUCACAGUGAACUAACAGUAUUGAUCAUCAGUUCUGUGUCCAGAACUAGAAAGACCAGGGUGAACAAGACAAAAAUGGUCCCAAACCUCACAGACACAACAAAUAUGCACAAAUAUGAAGCUGAUUCCAAUAGAUUUUACAGUCUCUGAAGGUGUCCACCAACUUUUUCUAUAAAUGAUCAGAUAAAUAUUUUAAGUGUUGUGGGUCAUAUGGUAUCUGUCACAAAUAGUCAGCUCUGCCAUUGUGAUGUGAAAGCAAAUAUUAUUCUGGUUUCUUUUCCAACUGCUUAAAAAUGCAAAAAUCAUUCUUAGCUCAUAGGUUAUCCAAAAACAAGUCGAAGGCUGGAUUUGUUCCAUGGGAUAUAGUUUAGCCAUCCCAGGUAGUCAGUUAACCUUAAAUGAUAAUUUAAACUAGCCUAUGGUUUUGAGAAUGUGUUAAUGUCAGGUGCUAUGUUAAGUAUGCUUCACUAUAAUAAUAUAACACUUAAAAUUUGGCUUUCCAGUGGACUUUUCUUGGGUAGGGAAGGAGAGAGUGGCAUUGCAGCUGUUUUUCCAAGAACUGAGUAUAGCUAUGGAUGAUGUUGCCAUAUGAAUAUCAUCCAUUAUUUGUCUCUCUAUAAAGAAAGUGUUGAAACAACUGACUUAGCCACCUCCUCUCAACCUCACCAAAUGCCAAGUGAGAGGGGAUUAUCAAAUCCAGUCCUGCCACGUUAUUAAAGAACAUCUGAGGUUUAGACGCAGUUCCAGAAAAGACACCCAAACACGGCUGCUAUCCUGCCUCUUCUCCUGGCCCCAUUUACCACUGUCUCUCCUCAUCCUGAAUGGCCAUUCCACUUCUGGUCACAGACUGGCAAAGGGGAUCACAGAAAGCUGGUAGCUUUGGGUCAAUAGAGCAUCCUGCCCAACAAGGGAACAUGUGGCUAAGCGUGACUCUCUCUGGGGGAGAGACAAAUUUAACAGGCAUCUGGGCAGGGAACACUGCCCUGUUUAUUGAUGGAAAACUGUUUGCCAAGUUAAGAGCUCUUUGGGGAUAUUUGUAGAUAUUUGGCAAGGCCCAGUCCCAAAAGCUGAUAUGUGCUACGAGAAACACCUCUGGGCUCUGAAAACUGAAUAGCCAAAAGGCUACCUCCCUAGAAGCCUAUUAAGGGAGCAGCAUGAAAAGUUCUACUUCUGGAGUUCCCCUUGUGGCUCAGUGAUUUAGAACCCAACAUAGUCUCCUUGAGGAUGCAGAUUCAAUCCCUGGCCUCACUCAGUGGGUUAAGGUUCCAGUGUUCCCACAAUCUGUGCUGUAGGUCGUAGAUGUGGCUUGGAUUCGCCUGGCUGUGGCUGUGGUGUAGGCCAGCAGCUGCAGCUCCAGUUCAGCCCCUAGCCUGGGAACUUCCAUAUGCCAUAGGUGUGGCCAUAAAAAGAAAAAAAAAAGUUGCACUUUCAAGGAGGAUACAUGGAAGUGAGCUAGCCUUUAAGAGAUGCACCUCCUCCGUGAGUUUGUAUGUGUAUGUGCUUUUUAGACCUGCAUCCAUGGCAUAUGGAAAUUCCCGGGCUAGGGGUCAAAUUGGAGCUACAGCUGCUGGCCACAGCCACAGCAAUGCAGGGUCCAAGCUUCAUCUGUGACCUACACCGCAGCUCACGGCAAUGCUGGAUCCUUUAAGCCAAGAGAGAUUCUCAGUGGAGAUCCUUUAAGCCAAGGGAUCAACCCCUGACCUCAUGGAUACUAGUCAGGUUUGUUUCCCCUGAGCCACAACUGAAACUCCUCCUCCUCCAGGAAUUAGUCAAGCACUCCAACCUGAUACUGUAACUUCUUUGCAAUAAUUUGCAUAACUGUAAUUAGUCACUUGUAUGUAUUUUAUACCCACAAGCCUCAAGCGUAUUCACUGUACUAUACUAGCACAGUGCCAGGCACAUGAUAAAAACUUACCCCAGUGAGAUACCCCCUCAUGCCCAAUAGGAUGGCUACUAUCAAAAGAAAUAGAAAAUAACAAGUGCUGGUGAGCAUGUGGGGACAUUGGAGCCUUUGAUGUUAAAGUGGUGCAGCCAUUAUGGAAACCAGUAUGGCAGUUCCUCAAAAAAUUAGAACUAUUGGAGUUCCCAUCAUGGCGCAGCAGAAGCAAAUCCAACUGGGAACCAUGAGGUUGUGGGUUCGAUCCCUGGCCUUGCUCAGUGGGUUAAGGAUCUGGCGUUGCCAUGAGCUGUGGUGUAGGUCGAAGACGAGGCUCAGAUCUGGCAUUGCUGUGGCUGUGGUGUAGGUUAGCAGCUGUAGUUCCGAUUAGACCCCUAGCCUAGGAACCUCCAUGUGCUGCAGGUG
rnacentral:lncRNA from 1 species